AGGACGAACGCUGGCGGCGUGCCUAACACAUGCAAGUCGAACGGGACCAGGGGCAACUCUGGUUCAGUGGCGGACGGGUGCGUAACACGUGAGGAACAUGACUUUCGGCGGGGGAUAGCCGGCCCAACGGCCGGGUAAUACCGCGUACGACCUCUCGGGGACAUCCCCGGUUGGUGAAAGCAGCAAUGCACCGAAAGAGUGCCUCGCGGCCUAUCAGCUAGUUGGUGAGGUAACGGCUCACCAAGGCGACGACGGGUAGCUGGUCUGAGAGGAUGGCCAGCCACAUUGGGACUGAGACACGGCCCAGACUCCUACGGGAGGCAGCAGUGGGGAAUAUUGCGCAAUGGGCGAAAGCCUGACGCAGCGACGCCGCGUGUGGGAUGACGGCCUUCGGGUUGUAAACCACUGUCGGAGGGACGAAUGCGCCGCAAGGCGAGUGACGGUACCUCCAAAGGAGCACCGGCUAACUCCGUGCCAGCAGCCGC
rnacentral:rRNA from 1 species